AUUGAACGCUGGCGGCAGGCCUAACACAUGCAAGUCGAACGGUAGCACAGAGAGCUUGCUCUUGGGUGACGAGUGGCGGACGGGUGAGUAAUGUCUGGGAAACUGCCCGAUGGAGGGGGAUAACUACUGGAAACGGUAGCUAAUACCGCAUAACGUCGCAAGACCAAAGUGGGGGACCUUCGGGCCUCACACCAUCGGAUGUGCCCAGAUGGGAUUAGCUAGUAGGUGGGGUAAUGGCUCACCUAGGCGACGAUCCCUAGCUGGUCUGAGAGGAUGACCAGCCACACUGGAACUGAGACACGGUCCAGACUCCUACGGGAGGCAGCAUGGGGGAAUAUUGCACAAAUGGGCGCAAGCCUGAUGCAGCCAUGCCGCGUGU
rnacentral:rRNA from 1 species